rnacentral:rRNA from 1 species
AUUGAACGCUGGCGGCAGGCCUAACACAUGCAAGUCGAGCGGUAACACAGGGAGCUUGCUCCCGGGUGACGAGCGGCGGACGGGUGAGUAAUGUCUGGGAAACUGCCUGAUGGAGGGGGAUAACUACUGGAAACGGUAGCUAAUACCGCAUAACGUCGCAAGACCAAAGAGGGGGACCUUCGGGCCUCUUGCCAUCAGAUGUGCCCAGAUGGGAUUAGCUAGCAGGUGGGGUAAUGGCUCACCUAGGCGACGAUCCCUAGCUGGUCUGAGAGGAUGAGCGGCGACACUGGAACUGAGACACGGUCCAGACUCCUACGGGAGGCAGCAGUGGGGAAUAUUGCACAAUGGGCGCAAGCCGGAUGCAGCCAUGCCGCGUGUAUGAAGAAGGCCUUCGGGUUGUAAAGUACUUUCAGCGGGGAGGAAGGCGAUUAGGUUAAUAACCUUGUCGAUUGACGUUACCCGCAGAAGAAGCACCGGCUAACUCCGUGCCAGCAGCCGCGGUAA